GCAUGGGAAAAUAGUCUAUGCAGGGAUGAUAAUUACAAUGGAAUUAUGGUCAUAUGGCAAAGCACAUGAACUAGUAGUAAUUGCAAACACAUUCCUUCAUGGAGAUGAUGUUGAGCUGAGUCAUGAUGUAGAAAUUAGUGAAGUUAAAUGGGAAAAAAAAGAAUAAAAAUUUUGUAAGCAUAGGGAGCUCUCUGAGCAAGAAGGAGUCAAGAGAAGGCAUUUUGCAUCAUGGAAGUUACAAAGAAAGGCAUAGUUUGAUAGGGUGACUUGAUGAGUAUGAGAGAAAAGGGAAGAUUUGAGGAUAGAAAACUGAGAAAGGGCAAGCUGUUGAAAGACCUUAUAUGGUGCACAAAUAAGUUUAGAAUAUAUCUCAUAGGCAAUGGGAAUCUAUAAAAUAAGAACGUGCUAUAAUUUGAUUUGUGUUUCUGAAAGACUCUUUUGGUUGUACCAUAAAGGAUUAGAAGAGAACAAUACUAGAAGCAAGAAGAAUUGUUAGCCUGCUGAUGCAAAACCAAGAUGAGAAAUGAUGAGAGAUUAAGUCCAAACUGUAAAGAUCGGUGGUGAAGAUUGAAAGGGAGGAUAGAGUCUGUCUGCAGUUUCUGACUCAGAAUGCAUUUUUCCGGGUAUAUGCAAUUCCACUCACUGACAGAGGGGGACCAAAAAGAAGAGGAUGAACAAGUUUGUGGGGGGAAGAUAAAUAUUCUUUGGGCAGUUUAAAUUUAGGAAAUAAAGGUAGUAACCUGUAGUAGAGUGAAAGAUCGAAACAUAAAACAGAGCUAAAGUUAUUAGCCUCAACCAACCCAUGCUAUAUGUUUUCCUUCUGAUCAAUCCCAACUACUAACGGAGCGACUAAACAAAAUGAAUUUUUGCAUCAAAAUGAAACAUUUUACCCUGAGUACUUUCCAAUGAAACUAUAUAUAAUUACCUGAUACUAGUAUAGUGAUCUAAACAUUAGAGGACUAAAGUCGCAUAUUCAUACCACCACGCGCAAAGGGCAGCAUAAAGGGAUGAAGUGAAAAUAUAUCAGAGGAACUGUCUUCCAUAUGGGAAUAUACCAGUGAAGUCAGACCACAUUAAUAGCAACAAAAAUCCAGAGUGGUAUACUUCCAUGUCCAUAUUAUUGGAAAAAAAUUCUUAACCAGUAAAAGCAUGGCACUGUGGAUUAAGUACCAGGCUAACAUCAAGGAAAUCAGGUGAUGAUAGCCUACUGUAUGUCCCCAGUUGGUUUGAAGAUUUUCAAAAUAAGAACACUGUGGAAAAAUGAGUUUCUCCAUGAAGUUGUAAAUUGUGGAGUGCAACAUGUUCACAAGCUUCCAAACUGUGAUGACUGCAUCUCAAGCGUAAAGCUCUGGACAAUACAGAAAUAAAAUAUGAUGGCAAAAUAUGCAGAAAGCUUAUGAGUUGGUAAUAAGCAAGAUGGAGUCAAUAAAUGUUUUAAGAAUAUUGAUAAGUACAACAUAAGGCAACAUUAUGUGAAGUUACCAUCAGGAAAAACAGCAAUAAAUGGCACAUGUUGAAGAUGCCAGAAAAAUAGUUAUUUUUUUCAGAAAAAAGUACCUAGUUGCCUGUAAAGUCAUAACCCAAGGUCUAACAUGAAAAGUUUUAAGUUAGAGCACUGUACCUGGUAUGUAAAGAGUUGUCAAUACAUGUUUCCUGAUGAAUUAAUGAGCCUAUGAAAGAAAAUACAGUGGUCAUACACAAUU